rnacentral:rRNA from 1 species
UACGGGGGGUGCGAGCGUUGUUCGGAAUUAUUGGGCGUAAAGAGCGUGUAGGCGGCCGAAUAAGUCAGAUGUGAAAUCCCUGGGCUUAACCCAGGACGUGCAUUUGAAACUAUUCGGCUGGAGUAGGGGAGAGGAAAGUGGAAUUCCUGGUGUAGAGGUGAAAUUCGUAGAUAUCAGGAGGAACACCGGUGGCGAAGGCGACUUUCUGGCCCUAUACUGACGCUGAGACGCGAGAGCGUGGGUAGCAAACAGGAUUAGAAACCCUAGUAGUCC